GACGAACGCUGGCGGCGUGCUUAACACAUGCAAGUCGAACGCUGAAGACCUGGCUUUUGUUGGGUUGGCUGAGUGGCGAACGGGUGAGUAACACGUGAGUAACCUGCCCUCUUCUUUGGGAUAACGCCCGGAAACGGGUGCUAAUACUGGAUAUUCACUGAUCUUCGCAUGGGGGUUGGUGGAAAGGUUUGUUCUGGUGGGGGAUGGGCUCGCGGCCUAUCAGCUUGUUGGUGGGGUGAUGGCCUACCAAGGCUUUGACGGGUGGCCGGCCUGAGAGGGUGACCGGUCACAUUGGGACUGAGAUACGGCCCAGACUCCUACGGGAGGCAGCAGUGGGGAAUAUUGCACAAUGGGCGAAAGCCUGAUGCAGCGACGCCGCGUGAGGGAUGGAGGCCUUCGGGUUGGAAACCUCUUUCGCUCAUGGUCAAGCCGCAACUGUGGGUUGUGGUGAGGGUAGUGGGUAAAGAAGCGCCGGCUAACUACGUG
rnacentral:rRNA from 1 species